rnacentral:tRNA from 1 species
GAUGAUGUGGCUCAGUGGUAGAGCACUUGCCUAAUGUGUGUGAGGUCCCCUGGAUUCUAUUCCCAGCAUAAACA